CAGCGUUAAAAGUCUUUUUGUUCAAACACUCUUCAGACCACUUGAGGUUUGCAUAUUGUUUUGUGAAAUGAACGAAGCAAUUAUGUAAACUCCCUCAUUACUCUUUUGAAGAAUAAUAAUAAUAAUAAAAAGAUAUUGAUUCCUCGGUUAUCUACCUCUUAAAAGACCUAAACAGCAAAAUACGAUAGGUUGGGUGUGUGACCAAAAAAGGAAAAGACGAACGAAGAAGUAAGAAAGGAAUAUUAAAAAAAGAAGGAAAAAUUAAAGAAAUGGCCUUUGAGAGAAUUGAAGUGGCCCAAUGAGGGAUGGAGCAGUCAAGUGUGGGGUCUCUCUCACCUCUCCACGUUUUUCGUCUCUUCGCUUCCCUUCGCCUUCUUUGCUCUUUAGUACGUGA